rnacentral:lncRNA from 1 species
GAAGAAAGAGUUUUUACUCUUCUCAAGAUUGUGAGAUACACUUGGAACAGCUUCAAGAAAAGACAUAAGUAAAAUAAGAAAAUACUAACUUAGGAAUCUUGGAACCAUUCAGCUCCUCCACAGUAUCCACUAAUGCAUGUGACCAUGUUAAUCCAUUUGAACACCGCAUGCCAAUCCCUUGAACAAAUUCCUUCAACACCAUUGAUAUUGUGUGGAUUGCCAUGCACCAUGCGCUGCAUGCUUGCAAAGAAUGCCCUGGAAGAUCCCAUGAGAAGCACGCUGGAGCCAAAGAGAUUGAAUGAUUCGGCCCUGCUCCACCUGACCACUGGAAAAUUGGCCACUUCUGGAGUGCCCAUUCAUUGAUCUAGGAUGUGAGCUCUCUUGCAGCAUGUCCUGCUCACUGUGAAGAAUGAUUUAUGGGCUAGAGCAAUACUGACCGAUUGAGCCGUGUGGAGCUGUCUAGUCCCAGAGGAAUUCCUGGGAGUAUACCUUGUGAUACACUGGCGACAGGGGAUGAUGCUAAACCUUGCAUGAACCGUGAACAUCCCCGUACUCGAGCGGCACAAGCUCCUGGGCCUCCACCUCUGGUGCUGGUAUCCUCAUCCGGGGUAGAAGUUUUGCGGCUGCAAGGGCGGAGGAGGAGCUGCAGUAAAGGAGAGUUUUACACCUCCUAGGGCGCACAACAAACAAACAGGUGUCAUGCCCACCUUCUGGGCCGGCCCAAAAUAUUUUAGAAAUUACGGCACCGAUUGGGGCAAUAGCAA